rnacentral:rRNA from 1 species
CAGCCGCCGCGGUAAUACGUAGGUGGCUAGCGUUGUCCGGAAUUAUUGGGCGUAAAGGGCUCGCAGGCGGUUUCUUAAGUCUGAUGUGAAAGCCCCCGGCUCAACCGGGGAGGGUCAUUGGAAACUGGGAAACUUGAGUGCAGAAGAGGAGAGUGGAAUUCCACGUGUAGCGGUGAAAUGCGUAGAGAUGUGGAGGAACACCAGUGGCGAAGGCGACUCUCUGGUCUGUAACUGACGCUGAGGAGCGAAAGCGUGGGGAGCGAACAGGAUUAGAUACCCGGGUAGUCCCUGUCUCUUAUAC